ACCGUGUCCUCAGGGCUGUGUCCUCAGGGCUGCAUCCUUGGCCACCAUGUCCUCAGGGCUGUGUCCUCAGGGCUGCGUCCUGGGCCACCGUGGCACCACACUCUGAGUCUGGAGGGUGCCCUGCACUGGAGGCACCGGACUCUGGGGAGGGGCUGACCCCCCCCCCCCGUCUCCUUGCACUGGACUCACAUUCCCACCCUGACCUCAUGUCCCCGUCCUGGACUCUGGUGUCCCAGACCCCGCCGGGCCGAUGAAGGCUGUCCCAGCUGUCCGACUCAGCCCUCAUGCCGGGGAAGCUGAGGCGCAGCAGGCGGGAGGUGCUGGGGGAGAAGCAGUGGCGGAGCCUCGAGGAGAGAGGAAGUGCCCAGCUGGAGCAGCCCAAGCUCGCCAGAUCCAGAACCUAUGAGUCCUCCUGCAAGGAGACAGAGCAGGCGGCCACGGGCAGGCAGGGACCCCCAUCCCCCUCGCUGAGCAAGCAGGACAGCAGCUACCGCCGGGUCUUCGGGGAGCUCGCCGAGCAGGACGCGCUGCUGGGCUGCUUCUCGUGCGCCUGGCAGAGAGAAAUGCCCUACCACGGCCACCUCUACGUGUCCUCCCGCCACAUCUGCUUCCACUCCAGCCUCCUGCUCAAGAACAUCAAGGUGGGGCUGGAGCAGGCAUGGGGCCGGCGGGGCAGGCAGGGGCACAGGUGGCAGCCGGGAACACGGUGA
rnacentral:lncRNA from 1 species